GUAGCAUUCAUUACGCCAACCCGUAACACUGACGUGAAAAUCCCGUACCUACUUGAGUUCAUUUUGACAGCUACAGUUGGAGUUCAUUGAGUGAUAAAUCAGUGUCGUGUGUAAUGGGUGCUACCAUUUCCAAUCAUUUUACAGCGUUUAUUAUGCGUUCAAAAGGCCAAAAUGUGUACAGAUUCGGAUUCAGAUCUAGCAAAAUAUUGCGUGGCACAUUCAUUACUUUAAAUAUUCAAAUAAUAUGGCUCUAAUCGUUAUAUACUCGAAGUCACACGGAAUUCAGCAUAACUAGCAUAACAAGGUAAACAUUGUGCCGCAGUGUUAUUUGGAUUUGGAAUGUUACUGGAGCCAAAUAUUUAAUCAUUGACCGCUUUGGCUUGCUUACGUAUAGGUAGUUCCGCAUGCCGAAAUCACAA